rnacentral:tRNA from 1 species
GCCUGGGAGGCUCAGUCAGUUGUGCGUCCAACUUUGGCUCGGGUCAUGAUCUCACGGUUUGUGGGUUCGAGUCCCGCUUCAGGCU